GGCAAUGGGAGUCCAUUCUGAUAAUUCAAAGAAACAGCUUCUGUAAAAAGAAACAAAAAAGCCACAAUUGGCCACAAUUUGAGACUGCGAAAAAGUCCUCUGAGUCGUUUAUUAUCAUCAAACUCUAACUGUGCAGUCAAUAAUUCGGGAGCCUACGUGAGGACUUUGAUGUGGUCAAGGGGCAAUCCUUUGAUUGUAACAAGAAAGAAAAAGAAAAAGAAUUCCUUUUGAAAACUCUUAUUUUUGAGUGAAUGGCAAAUGAUGAUAAUGGGACAAACAUAAAAGCAAAAAUAUAUAAGAGCAUGGUGGGAUUUCAGCGGCGGUGCAUGAUGAUGACACUAUUGCAAAAUGUGGAUCUUGAUGAGAUUUUUUAAUUUUUACUUUUUUAAUUUUUUUUUUUAGUUUGAAUGUGCCAUUUUUGAAAGAAUUUUGAGUUUAACUUCCGGUGUGCACGAAACAAGGAAUAUAUCGCAAUAAUCAAGUGAAUAAUCUCUUAGUUUUGAAGGUAUUUUUUUACUUAAUUCUGAUAAAUUACAGUUCAAAACUCAUCGUGAUUUUACGUUAUGUGUUUUUUUCUUAUUUUUGCACGGUGUGGAAAACCCUUCAUGUGUUUUGCUCGAGCCGGAUUCUGUGUUUUGGUGCUGCCUGGUGCAGUUGGGAGUGGAGUGAUUCCGUAGUAAAAUCAUGGGAUUAGAGUCUGAUUGAGAUGUCUGUCGGUGGGAUAUUACAAAAUUCAUUAUCGCAGCCCUCAUACUACCUCGAUAUGAAGUUACACAGAUGGGAUUUUAUUAGUCCAGGCUCACAAUGUUUGCUUAUGAUAAUUCAAGUCGGGGGAAAUUUGCAUCCAGUCAUGCUGUUAACCAUUUUCCUCAGUUCUUCUCUUCACCUGCUCUACAUCAUCUGCGAGUUUUUUUCUUUCUCUUUUUUUCACCCUUUAAUUCAAAAGAUGCAGAUAUUGGAGGUUAAGUUUUACAUGCUGUGUACCUGCACAACCGUUCUUCGCAUCCCUCCUCUAUAUCCCCGCUGCAAAAUGAAAUAGUGGGGGUCACGCUGUAAGGUGUAAGGUUAUUGCAUGCGGCUCGGUGUUACCUAAUCAGUGAAAUUUAAUGAGAGGUUCGUCCAAUAUUUCAGUCUGUCGUGCUGCUCCACAGUCUCUGAAGUUACACACAUUUUUUUUUUAAAUUUAUUGUUAUUAAUUUUGUUUUAUUGUGUGAAAAUUUAACUGCAAUUUCAGCUUUGAAUUAACGACUUGAGCAUUUUUUUUUCUUUUGUUGUCUGUAUUUUGUUCAGGACGCUUCAGAUUUCGAAGAGUGCCUUUUCCUUUAAAGUUAGAGAGGAAAAGCAUUUUUGUUUUAAAUCGGAAGUUGCUCAUUUAAGACGAACAUCACCUUAGUAUGAUCUUUAAACUGCCUCAUUCAUUAAGUCAAAUUUGAAAAGACAUAUGUGGGCAACUGUAAUAAUAAUAAUAAUAAUAA
ensembl:lncRNA